ensembl:lncRNA
AUGCUGAUCUGUUUUAUUUGUCAAAAAGAGCACCCAGAGAGUCAACAGUUGAUUUCCCAUUUAAGAGGUGAACAUAGUUAUUAUCCUGGAUCUAAGUUCAAAUUAAUUUGUUCUCAGCAAGGUUGUAGGCAUCAGUUCCAAACAUAUGCAGGUUUUCGUAAGCACCUUAAUAGUGUUCAUAGCAGCAUUCAGCUGAUUGCUCCAACUUCAACUGUUGGAUGUUCCUCAAGUGAGCCAGUUGCAAGCUCAUCUCAUGCUUUGGAGGACCUUAUGAAUCCCCAGCAUUUAUCUCCUUGUUCCAGUGCUUUAUCUGAUAACAAUGAUUCAGGGCUUACUAAAAAUUCAACUAAAGAAUUGUGUGAAUCCAUUGUGGCCAAAAUACAAGCAAGUGGGAUUUCAAACAGUUUGGUGUCCUCAAUUGUCGGAGAUUUAGAGGAGCUAACAGAUGAGCUUAACUCUCAGGCAAAGCAUAACAUACUUUCUGCUUUGCCUACAAAUGACCCCUACAAAACUGUAAUAAAUGAAUCUUUUGAAAAAUUAGAAAACCCAUUCACAAAUUUGAAUACAGAAUGGAAACGUAAUAAAUACUUUAAAGAAAAAUGGGGAGUUGUAGAGCCCAAUGAGAUAACAUUAGGUGUGCGGUAUGACAACAAAUUGAAUAAGAAAUCUGGUACUUAUGACCAAGUUCCAGUGAAUGAUACUUUUAUAUAUGUGCCAAUUUUAGAAACAUUGAAAUUCAUGUGCAGAAAUCCAGACAUUUGUGAUCUCCUAAGGAAAGAUUGUAGAUCAGAGCCUGACACUUUUACAGAUUUUAGCGAUGGAAGUUAUUUUAAAUCCCACCCUUUAUUUACAACAAAAAGACAUGCAUUACAAAUUCAAAUAUACUAUGAUGAUUUUGAAACCGCUAACCCCCUUGGCUCCAAACGUAGUAUCCACAAAAUUGGCUGCCUUUAUUUUAUUGUAAGAAACUUGCCUCCAAAAUUUAACUCAGUUCUGAUGAACAUUCAUUUGUUAGCACUUUUUCACACACAAGAUGUAAGCAAGUACGGUUUUGAUGUUAUACUGGAUCCAUUGAUAAAUGAUAUAAAGAUACUUGAAAGCCAAGGAUUAAGUCUCCCAUUCUCAGAUGAGCAGAUAUACGGCACCAUCGCACAAAUCACUGGUGAUAAUCUAGGAAUGCAUUCAAUUCUUGGUUUUAAUGAGUCAUUUAAUAGCCAUCAUUUCUGUCGCCUUUGUUUAAUUGAAAAGAAUGAUUCUCAAACAGUAUACAGUGAGGAUGAUCCUAAGGUGGUCCUUCGUGGACAAGAAAUCUUUGAAAUACAUUGCAAGUCUCUCCAUGAAAACCCACAAUUGAGGUCACUAUAUGGUUUGAAAAAAAAAUCCAUAAUUAAUACACUGAAGUACUUUCAUGUUAGCAAUAACUACUCAUUUGAUAUAAUGCAUGACCUUCUUGAGGGCGUGGUUCAAUAUGAAAUCAAAUUGCUUUUUGGACAUCUCACACAAAACUUUAUAUCUGAAGAGGAUUUACUUUCAAGGAUUUAUUCUUUUGAUUAUGGAUUUUUAGAACGGAAAAAUCGUCCCACAAAGGUUAUUUUGGAUAGUGCUGGUAAUAGCAUUGGUUUAAAUUCCAUUCAGACAUUAUGUCUUGUGAAAAAUCUCCCACUUUUGUUAGGAGACAUUGUUCCUCCAGGACACAAACACUGGAGUUUGUUGCUUAUGUUACUUCAAAUAAUGAACAUUGUGUUUUCACCUUGUCUCACUUCAGGUUUGACAGUGUAUUUGAAGCACUUGAUCGCUGACCAUCACAAACUAUUCAAGUACUUGUAUCCUCAUAAAAAUUUGAUUCCUAAACAUCAUUAUAUGAUACAUUACCCUUCUUCUAUAAGGAAAAUUGGCCCCUUAUUAUAUAUGUGGUCAAUGAGGUUCGAAGCCAAACAUAAGAUGUUCAAAGAUUUUUUUAAAAAUUUCAAAAACAUAACAAAAUCAUUAGCUAAAAAGCAUCAGAUGGCCAUUGCGUACCAUUGGGAAACCUUCACCCUCAAACAUAAUGAGUUUGGGCCAAUUAAACCAUUUUCCAUAGGGAAUGAGGUCAGCAAUCAAAUGCUUGAAAUGUUCGUAUCAAAAGAUGUUUUCUCAACCAGUUGGGUUAAAGUUGAUGGUGUAGAAUAUAGAGCUGGACUUGUGGUGUGCAGUGCAAUAGAAAGUGAAAUGCCAGUCUUCUGUCAAAUAAGUGAUGUACUUUUGGUUGAAAAUUGCAUUUAUCUGUUGGUAAACAAACUAUUUACAGAGAAUUUUGAUGAACAUCAUCAUGCAUUCAGAGUAGUACAAAGUGAGGAAAGGUGUAUUAUCAAAAUGUCAGAAAUUCAAUUUUAUAAGCCAUUUGAUAUUCAAAGUUCAUACAGUGUUGUGGAUGAAAGUUUGUAUAUCAUACCUUCUUUUGUAAUGUUUUAA